rnacentral:lncRNA from 1 species
UUGGAAACACUAAUAUGAGAAGGAUCAAAGAGGACGUGGAGGAAGUAAGAAUGCUGAUAAAAGUAAUCUGGAAAGAAAUGGUGAAAAGAGAAAUGAUAAUCUCUGAAGAAGAAAAUAAAGGUGCAAGGGGCUACUGCGAGUUCCGUGAAGAAAAGGAACAUGAGAUCCAGGAAUGUGACGAGUUUAAGGCUUUGAUACAAAGCCUUAUGGAUAAUAAGGAGCUGGAAUUUUAUGAAGCUGGCUCAGAUGAGGGUCAUGUAUGCACAUUGGAAGAUGAACCCAACAAUCAAAUAAUCAACCGGCCAAGGAUCAUUAUUUCUCUACCAAUGAAUAAUGAAGUCGAAACAUAAACAGCACCGAAGGUUAUUACUCGCAAACUCGUUUUCUUUCCUUAUAAGGAUAACAAGAGGGUACCCUGGUAUUAUGACUGUAAUGUGACAAUGCCAGAGAAAGAGGCUAUAGCUAGUGCUUCUAAAGAGGCUCAAGAUAAGGGUUCUUACACACGUAGUGGGAAGCGUUAUAAUGUAGAAGGAGUCAGAGUUGAGCCUGCGAAAGCAAAAGCCUUUGACAAAGAAAAAGGGGUUGAAGUACUUGUUAAUGAGCCAGUAAAGGAAGAAGAAGCCAGAGAGUUUUUAAAAUUCUUAAAACACAGUGAGUACAGCGUGGUUGAACAAUUGCGCAAGCAACCAACUCACAAAUCAAUGUUGGCUUUGCUUCUGAGUUCAGAGGUACAUCGAGAAACAUUAAUGAAGGUGCUCAAUGAGACUUACGUUACUAAUGAUAUAUCCGUCAAUAAGUUAGAUCGAUUGGUUAGUAACAUAAGUGCUGACAAUUUUAUCUAUUUCAAUGAUGAUGAAAUCCCACUUGGUGGCAUAGGAUCAGCUAAAGCUUUACAUAUCACCACUCGCUAUAAGGGGUAUACAUUGCCGAGUGUGCUUAUUGAUAAUGGAUCAGCCUUAAAUGUCUUACCAUUGUCCACAUUGAAUAGAUUACCCAUAGACAGUUCUCACAUAAAAACAUGCCAUAAUGUAGUGAGAGCAUUCGAUGGCACGGAGAGAAAGGUCAUGGGAAGAAUUGAUAUUCCUUUGAUGAUUGGGCCAAAUACGUAUGAGGUGGACUUUUUAGUGAUGGACAUCAAGCCCUCUUACAAUUGCCUGUUGGAGAGGCCUUGGAUACAUUCGGCAGGAGUAGUGCCCUCAUCCUUGUACCAGAAAUUGAAGUUAGUAACGGACAGACGGCUAGUCACCAUAAAUGCAGAGGAAGACAUCAUAGCAGCAGUUACCAGCGACGCACCAUAUGUAGAGGCAAAUGAUAAGGCUAUUGAGUGCUCUUUUCGUUCCUUAGAAUUCGUCAAUGCAACAUUCAUUUCAGAGAGGAAGGAGGUGUCAGUACCCAGGAUAUUCAGAACCACAAGAAUGGGUUUACAGAUGACAAUGGGGAAAGGAGCUUUGCCAGGAAAAGGAUUGGGAAGAUAUCUUUAAGGAAGGAUUUAGAUUCCAGAAUUAAAGGAGAAGAGAGACCAUUUUGGCUUGGGUUUCAGGCCAGAUCACAAGCAAAGGAGGAAGGAAAUAGAGAAGCGUCAGGAAAGAAGAAAGACGCAUUUAAAUGGAAGAGAAGUAGAGUGGGAAUUGAUGACAUUCCCUCAUAUAUCCCAAACUUUUAUAUCAGGAGGGAUAAUUUACCCUAAGAAAGGGUUGCUCGAAAAAGAAAGUUAUCACAUCAAUGCUGUACAUAAUGAAGAGCCUGAAUGAAAAAACCUUGAGGGCAUUCGCCGUUAAGAACCGAGAAGCUCUUUAAACAAUUGGAUUGCAGAAGAAUUUCUUGUAGUUUUUAAAGACUUUUCAAAGUAAUUUUUAAAACACUCUUGUUGCUCUAAAGCCUGGGAGUAAUAAGGUUUCGUUUGUAAAAUAGGUUCAUGUUUGGAUAUUUGUAUUUCAAUAAAACAUCACUUUUGUUAUCAAUCCAAGUGAAUAUCCUUUUAUACCGAUCAAUAUUCUUUUGACCUUUUUAAAUUCUUUCAAAUUUUUCAUUUCAUACAUAACACAUAAAUGAACAUUCUUAAAAUUCAUUCAUUCUUUGUACAUUCUUUCGUACCCCGCAAGUCCCUAGAUAUCAAUGACAUGAGCACUGAUACUACAAAUCCUGAAUUCUCUUUUAAGUAAGACAUGUGUGUAGAAGAACCUCAGGAUUUUGAAGAUGACGGGAAUUGUGAUGUGUCUCCAAAUCUGUUGAGAAUGGUGAAACAAGAGGAGAAACAAAUCCUACCCCGUGAGAAAGAGGCAAUAGAGAAUGUAGUCUUGGAAGAAUGAAAAGAGGUAAAAAUAGGGACACAUAUUGCAAAGGAAACGAGACAAGGUCUUGUUGAGCUACUACGUGAAUUCAAAGAUAUAUUUGCAUGGUCAUACGAGGAUAUGCCGGGACUGAAUACUGAUAUCGUGGUACAUUGUCUCCCCAUAAGACAAGAUUGCAAGCCGGUCCAACAAAAAUUACGAAGGAUGAGGCCUGAUAUUGUGCUGAAAAUAAAAGAUGAAGUCAAAAAGCAGUUUAAUACUGGAUUCCUACAAGAGGUUAAGUAUUCAAAAUGUGUGGCUAACAUUGUGCUUGUCCCUAAGAAGGAUGGGAAGGUACGAAUGUGUGUUGAUUACAUAGAUCUGAACAAAGCUAGCCCAAAGGACAACUUUCUUUUACCGCACAUCGACACUUUGGUGGACAAUACAGCGGGAUAUUCAUUGUUUUCUUUUAUGGAUGGCUUCUCAGGGUACAAUCAGAUAAAGAUGCAUCCCAAGGACAUGGAUAAAACUACCUUUAUAACAUUAUGAGGCACCUUUUGUUACAAGGUAAUGCCCUUCGGGUUAAAGAAUGCAGGGGCAACAUACCAAAGGGCUAUGGUGAACUUAUUUCACGAUAUGAUGCACAAGGAGAUUGAAGUGUAUGUUGAUGACAUGAUUGCUAAAUCUCGAACAGAGACAGAGCAUAUUGAAGUCUUGAAGAAGUUGUUCAUAAGAUUAAGGAAGUUUCAGUUGAAGCUUAAUCCAGCAAAGUGCAUUUUCGGAGCUAGGUCGGGGAAAUUAUUGGGCUUUGUGGUCAGCGAAAAGGGAAUAGAAGUUGACUCAGACAAGGUUAGAGCCAUACGAGAAUUGCCUCCACCACAUACUCAAAAGGAAGUUUGGGGUUUUCUUGGAAGAUUGAAUUAUAUUGCUCGGUUUAUUUCACAAUUAACCGAUAAAUGUGAUCCUAUAUUUCGCCUCAUUAGAAAACACAACCAAGGUAUAUGGAAUGAGGAAUGCCAGAAUGCUUUUGAUAAGGUUAAGCAAUACUUGUUAAACGCUCCAGUAUCAUCUCUGCCCAGUCCAGAUAGACCAUUAAUUCUGUACUUAUCAGUGUUUAGUAAUUCUAUAGGGUGUGUGCUUGGUCAACAUGACGAGUCAAGAAGAAAGGAGAAGGUGAUAUAUUACCUUAGCAAGAAAUUCACAGAGUGUGAGAUGAGAUAUUCACAAAUUGAGAAGUUGUGUUGUGCUUUGAGCUGGACGACUCGAAGGUUGAGGCAAUAUAUGCUAUAUCAUACAACUUGGCUAAUUUCGAAACUUGAUCCAUUAAAGUACAUGAUGGAGUCAACAGCCCUAAAUGGAAGAAUGGCAAGGUGAAAAGUACUACUUUCAGAAUUUGAUAUAGUCUAUGUGAGUCAAAAGGCUAUAAAAUGGAGCGCGAUAGCAGAAUUUCUGGCUAGCAGAGCUCUAGAAGAUUAUGAGCCGUUAAGCUUUGAUUUUCCUAAUGAGGAGUUGAUGUAUGUGGCAACUAUUGAAGAACGUCCAUGGAAGCUAAACUUUGACGGCGCAUCCAAUGCGGUAGGAAAUGGAAUUGGGGCAGUCUUGGUAUCCCCAAAUGGUGAUCAUUAUCCAUUUACAUGUAAAUUAGAUUUUCACUGUACGAACAAUAUGGCUGAGUAUGAAGCAUGCAUCAUGGGGAUUCAAGCGGCCAAAGAGCGAAAAAUUAGAACCCUGGAAGUGUAUGGAGACUUUGCGUUGGUAAUAUACCAACUUAGGGAUGAAUGAGAGACAAGGGACCCCAAAUUGAUUAAUUAUCGAAGGGUAGUUUUGGAGUUACUUGAAGAGUUUGAUAACGUCACUUUCAGUUAUCUCCCACGAAACGAAAAUCAAAUGGCGGACGCUUUGGCAACAUUAGCUUCCAUGAUUAAAGCAAAUAAACAAGAGGAGGUGAGACCAAUUCAGAUGAGCGUUUCUGAGGUUCCAGCUCAUUGCUGUAAUAUCGAAGAAGAUGAAAAGGAUGACCAUCCUUGGUAUCAAGAUAUAUUACGGUAUGUGAGAAAUCGUGAAUAUCUUGAGCAGGCAACUGAGAAUGACAAAAGAACUUUGAGAAGGUUAGCCUGCGAAUAUGUACUAGAUGGAGACAUCCUUUAUAAAAGAAGGAAAGAUCAGGUACUCUUAAGAUGCGUCGAUGCUGUGGAAGCUAGACAAAUCCUGGAAGAAGUACAUGAAGGUGUUUGUGAGACACAUGCUAAUGGCUUUACGAUGGGCAAGGAAAAUCAUGAGGUUUGGAUAUUUUUGGUCUACUAUGGAAAGAGAUUGUAUCAGCUAUACUAAAAAAUGUCAUAAAUGCUAGAUAUAUAGGGACAAGAUUCAUGUACCACAUUCACCCUUAUAUGUUAUGACUUCUCCAUGGCCCUUUUCCGUGUGGGGCAUGGAUGUCAUAGGGCUAAUAUCACCAAAGCUUCGAAUGGGCAUCGUUUCAUUUUUGUGGUCAUUGACUACUUCACAAAAUGGGUAGAGGCAGCUUCAUAUGCUAGUGUUACCAAGUCGACUGUAAGUUGUUUCUUGAAAAAGGAGAUUAUUUGUCGGUAUGGAAUGCCUGAGAGGAUUAUAUCGGACAAUGCAUUGAACUUGAAUAACAGCAUGAUUGUGGAAGUUUGUAGCCAAUUUAAGAUCAAACAUCAUAAUUCAUCUCCAUAUCGCCCAAAAAUGAAUGGGGCAGUGGAAGCUGCCAUCAAGAAUAUUAAGAGCAUAGUAGGGAAAAUGACUGAGACCUACAAAGACUGCAUGAGAAAUUACCAUUUGCACUCAUUGCCUAUCGAACGUCAGUCAGAACCUCUACUGGGGCAACACCUUUCUCAUUGGUUUAUGGGAUGGAGGCAGUGUUGCCCAUUGAAGUAGAAAUACCUUCUCUUCGAAUUUUGUCAGAAAUAAAGCUGGAUGAAGCAGAAUGGAUUCAAUUGCAGUAUGACUAAUUGAACUUGAUUGAAGAAAAGAGGCUAAGGGCUAUUCGUCACGGUCAGAUAUAUCAGAAGAGAAUUCCACGAAGGGGACCUUGUAUUGAAAAAGAUUCUUCCCAUAAGAAGGACUUUAGAGGAAAAUGGAUGCCAAAUUGGGAAGGACCGUACGUUGUGAAGAAGGCUUUCUCUGGUGGUACACUGAUUUUGACAGAAAUGGAUGAGAAAAGUUUACCCAAUCCAGUGAAUUCAGACUCAGUCAAGAAUUACUUUGUCUAAAGAGAAAGGAAGUCAAGGUGAAAACCCACAAAGGGCGCUUUGAGAUUUCUGAAAACUUCUAAAAAAAAUAGAGAGGCCAAGGUGAAAACCCGUAAAGAGCGCCCUGAGACCAAAGGGGUUUUGAGUUGAAAACCCGAAAUGGCUGUUCAAAUUUUAAAAAGCAUGCAGUGACCUUGCUAUACUAGAUUUGACAAGAAAUGGAGUAUGUUACAUACUAGGGCAUCGACAAAAUACUUUGAAUCUUCUAAACAAAUGAUAAACUCAAAACAGUCUUCAUGGAAUUUGUAUAUAGAAGCCCAAGCUGUGAUAUGUUGGAUAUGUGAUUUUUGUUCUGUUUACUAUCUUUGGAUUCUUUUUCUUCUCAAAGAUAUGUUUUUAGAUUAAUUUCCUAUUGUAUUCUGAUGAUUUAUUUAACUAUUCUCAAGAUUAAAUUAUUUGUCUUCCAUUAUUCAUAAAGUGUGUUACAUUGAAAUAAUGAUUGAUGAACUAAAUAUUUUUACAAACGAAGUUUUGCAUAUUACUCUGAAAAUCUCUAGAGAAUACAAGAAACUAAAACAGAACAAUUGUUUGAAGAAUUCCCAUGAGUGAGGGUCAGAGGUAUUCAAGAAAAUUUCUUCAGUUCAAAGGAUAAUUGGACAAUUCAAACGAUUCAAUCUUAGGAGAGGAUCGUCUCCAGCAGGUCGUAACAUUCGGAGAAUGGUACAAUAGGACCAAUCUGAUUCAAAACACAUGAGCAAAGUAUGAUUGAUACUUUGAGUAAAAUAAAGGUGGAACUUUGAUGGAUGAACGAGUAAAGACGUCCGAAAUAGGAAUCAUUUUCAUAACAUUUUGCAUCAUAGUAUGUCUAUUUAGGAGCAUUUGACUCAUUUCGGUCAUGUCACCUUAAUCAUCGGGCAUGAGCACAUAUGCAUUCUACAGGUUACGCCCUUUAAGGGACAAUAUAGAUCACCGAUAGUAGAUUUGGCGUCUCUGUAUUGACAGAGAGCAGAUCGAAGAUAACAGAUUUGGCUUCUCUGUAUUGACAGAGAGCAGAUCGAAGAUAACAGAUUUGGCGUCUCUGUAUUGUCAGAGAGUAGAUCGAAGAUAACAGAUUUGGCGUCUCUGUAUUGUCAGAGAGCAGAUCGAAGAUAACAGAUUUGGCGUCUUUGUAUUGAUAGAGAGCAGAUCAAAGAUAGCAGAUUUGGCAUCUCUGUAUUGACAGAGAGUAGAUCGAAGAUAGCCAAUUUGGCGUCUCUGUAUUGACAGAGAGCAAAUCGAAGAUAGCCGAUUUGGCAUCUUUUUAUUGUCAGAGAGCAGAUCGAAGAUAGUAGAUUUGGCGUCUCUGUAUUGUCAGAGAGCAGAUCGAAGAUAGCAGAUUUAGCGUCUCUGUAUUGACAGAGAGCAGAUCGAAGAUAGCAGAUUUGGCGUCUUUGUAUUGACAAAGAGUAGAUUGAAGAUAGCAGAUCUAACAUUUGUAUGCUUACAUCGAAGCAGAUUGAAGAUGACAGAUUCAGCUUCUCCAUAUUAGGCAAGGAGAAGAUCAGAGAUUUCAGCUUGGCAUUCCUGAGUUUGCAGGGAGCAAGUUGAAUAUAGCAGAUUUGACAUUCCUGGGUUACGGUGAAGCAAGUUUGAAGCUAUCAGAAUACCUUUGAAGAAGAUGAGGAUCAAGAUUUCGAGACCUGGCCAGGCCGGGCAAAAUUGGUCCUUUUAUAGUCUUUGCUCUAUUCCUGUUACACAGUAAUGAGCAAAUAGGGGCAGCUGUAAUAACCCAAAUUUGCCCAGCCCAGAAAAUAAAAAAACAAAAAAUAAAAAGUCCUUUACAGUCCAUUUACAAAUCACGCCAGUAGCCCAUUACACUUAAAAGCCCUUUAACUUGAACUAAACCCAAAUUAAUGAGGCCAAGGAAGGCUCAAUGCCUAAACUGAAUCAGGAAACCCUAGGGUUUCCAGAAGCUUCGCGCCGCAAACUCCAAACGUCACGCCCCUUCGUCUCGCGCAAUUUCAGUGAACCCUCAUCGACGCCUCCAUCGGUGCCGUGACUACCGUAAUCUGCCCGCGAAUCAACACCCUAUCGUCACCGAAUUUCUCGCUGGUACCUGCAAAAAAGGAAAGAAGAACAACAGAGGCAAUACAAAUAUGGCAGGGAAUAAAAUCAAACAUGUUAAAUAUUAUUUUCAGUGGCUAUAAAAGCCCGAAUCAAAAUGAUGUAAAGCACGGUUUUUUUUAAAUGGAGAUAUACAAUAAAGAAUAAAACAGUUUAUCAAAGAAAACAGAGGUGAUUAGUUCUUUACCUUUUCUUCUUGUUGCAAACAUAUACAAAUUUUAUUAAAAUAAAAGGAAAGGGAGUUUACUAUUGGAUUUGCGCUAAAAACCAGAAGCUUUUCGGCUUUCGGCCGCCGUAUCUAGCGGAGUUGAAGACGGUACGUGGACGCGUGAGUCUGAUGACCGGGCUUGGCCCGACGGAGGCUGGAGCCCAGAGGAUUUCCUCUCUUUUCCUCUUUCAGAGGAUUUCUGUUCUUCUUUUUUUAAAACCAGGGGCUAAAAUGAUUUUUUAAGUUUUUUUUUUACAUUUAUAAGCUACCUAUAUGACGUCGUUUUGGGAUGACCGUUUAGUGACCAAACGGUGUCGUUUCAGGGCUGAGGAUCCGCGCGUUGACCCGUGACCUGGGGAGGAUCCGCGCGUUUUUGAUAAAUGGGAAAAUUACUGUUUGAGCCCUUCCGCAUUUUUCGUUUUUUAAAUGUCGUUUAAUUCUAAAUUUCUCUAUUUUUAAAUCUGGCCCUAAUAGUUUGUUUCUGUUUCAAUUUGGUUCCUGAACCCUUUAAAGUGUAAUUUUUAAAACGGCGUCGUUAUGGGAUUAGGGAUAAUUGCCCAGUGAGUCCCUCGUUUUUUGGCGCGCGCUUUAAUUGGAUCCAAAAUUCAUUUUAUUUUAAAAUUAACCCUAAAGUUUUUUUAUUUCAUUUUAAUCCUUUUGAUUUUUUUAUAAUUUAUUUAAUUUAAAUAUAAUAUACAAUAUUUAUUUUUACCAUAAACAUUAUCUAUAUAUGAAAAAUUAUUAUAUAUUUUUUUAUUUUUUAUUUGUGUAUUAUUUGUUAAAUCAUUUACAUUUCAUUAUAUAUUUUGAUUUAUACAUUUUAUUAUAUAUCAUUUUAUUAUAUAUUAUUGUUAUUUUAUUAUAUAUUAUAAUUAUUCAUUAUUUAUUAUUAUAUAAUUUUCAAAUUUGUAAAUUACUAUUAAAUAUUGCAUUUUUAUAUCAUUAUUAAAAUUUAGUAUGUAAUACACUAAAAUUUAUAAUAAAGUUUUAUUCCUAUUAUACAAUAUUAUUUUAUAAAACAUAUUAAAUUAUUACAUCAUAUAGUCUAUUUUUUAUUAAUCAUAUAUAAAAUCUUCUUCUUUACUAUUUAUCUAUGGUUUUAAAUAUUUUUUAAAAAUACCUCAUUUAAUUUUUAUUGUAUUUUAUUUUUUAUAUAUGUUUAUAAUUUUUUUAUUUAUUUUUGCGUCCUUUUGGAUUUAUUUAGUAUCGUUUUAAUAUGUUCUCAAAGAUUAUUUGUAUUUUUAUGUUAUUUACUAUUUAUGUAUAUUUGCAUGAAAAUUGACUAUUUAUGUUGUUAUUUUAAGUUAUAUUUAUAUGUAAUAUUAUUGUAUACAUAUUAUGCAAUUUAUAUUGUUAUAUAUUCAUUAUGCUCUAUGUUGUAUUUUGCAUGUAACAAUAAUGCAUGUAUAUUUAUGUUAUUUAUGAUCAUAUAUGCAUAAAAUGAUAAUGUAUAUUGUGUAAUUUAUGUCAUUAUUUAUCAUUUUUUAUAUUAUAUUUGCAUGGAAUGAUAAAGUAGGUAUCAUGUAGGUUAAUUUAUUUAAUAUUGAUCCUUUGUAAUAAGUUGAAUGCAUCAUCACUUUAAAGAACUUUUAUAUCUCAUUCGAUCCAAAAGAAUAUAAAAAAUAAGGCAAUGUUUUUUGGUACUUAGGAAUUCGGGAAGUAGUACCCUAACAUGCUGGGUUGCGAUUUCCCGUUUGUCUAAAUGCCUAAAAUAUCCUUCUAAAUAAGUUUUGAAAAUCACAAGAUGAUUUCAGUUACGAAAGUUUAAGAACAUCGUGUCCAAUCAUGCUGGAUGUGAUGUUUAUAUUCUUUUGAAGUGAAGGAUUCUUGAUUUUUAACUCAAAUUAUUACGGUUUUAAAAGAGAUCUUAUUUCUAAAUUCUUUUAAGCUUUUGAAGCGAAGGAUUCUUGAUUUUUAACUCAAAUUAUUACGGUUUGAAAAGAGAUCUUAUUUCUAAAUUCUUUUAAGCUUUUGACAUUAAGACAAAACUAUUCAAUUUGGUACCAAUUUUGGGCGUUGCGAGGGUGCUAACCCUUCCUCGUACGUAACCGAAUCCUGAGCCCGUUUUCUCAUAAUUUCGUAGACCAAAAUGUUUUAUAAGGUGAUCCAAUCACACUUUAAAAGGUUGGUGGCGGCUCCUGUUUUCAAAAUACCCUCCCCGUUUAAAAGAGGUUUUGACAACCCCCAUAUUUUAUUUGGCACAUUGUCCUUAAUGUGCUUAAAAAUAAAAUAAGGAACGAAAUUACCUAAUUUGGCGUGAUAGUCCAUGAACAAUGUUGGGUAGCCUUGUCCUCCCCGAUUUAACUCCAAAAAAUUUUGUAUCAUCCAAAAUAUAGGAUUCUUACACAGAAAAACACAUUUUUUUAAAGAAUCUUAACUCGAUGUCGCAACAUUAACUUCAAAGUUCCUAGCUAAUUGGUUCAAAAUCUAGUAUCGUGACAUUGAGAUUCAAUUUUGUGACAUUCUCCUUGUAUUUUAACUUUGAAGUUCCAUGUCAUGACGCCAGAGUUCAUCGUCGUGACUUUGAGUCUAGUUCUAUGCUUCUUCAAGUUUUUUUUUUGAGAUGUUCCACAAUAUCAACACCUACUUGUGGAAAACAACACAAACAAUCAAAAGGAACAAAACAAAAUUUUAAAAAUAAAAAAUAUAUAUUAAAUAAAUAAAUAAUAAAAUAAAAGGAAAAACUAGAGAAAAAAUAAAAGUUCUUUUUAAAGACUAGGACGAUCUGCAUCACAACCAUAGAAGAAUUUUCAGCUGGUCCUCGACACUUUGAUCCUUCAUUUGUUUCAUUGUUGAUGUAUCUGAACCAAUAAUUUUGGUCGAUUCUGAUGAUAUUGCCUUAGUUUUUACCGGCGUGACAUCUACAUUACGAGCUAUUUAAUGCCAAAGUUGAGCCAACCGCAAAUGGUUUUUUGGGAUAUUAUUAGCUCGAGCUUUUUCACCUCAAUGUCACGUAAGGAUCUAUCAACCUAAGUUUUGUCAUCGUCAUCGAACGAGAAUGAUAUGAACUCGUCAACCUCUUCGGUUGGCGUUUCCUCUUCUAUGGCCAGAAGGUGUGUCGACUCAUUGACACCUUCACUUAGAAUCAGUUUAAGCUCCAAGUUAAUGGUUAAUGUUACAUCUACUUCUAAAUCUACUAUUACAUCUAUGCCAAAGUUAAUUAGAUCAAAGACUACUUCGGCGAUCUUCAAUUCUUUCUCGUACCCAAUUUCAAACUCUAGCCAACUUUUGUAGUCUACUUACGGAUGGUCGAUAGUGCUACUAUAGGUUUCAUAAUUACAGUUGGAGGCAUCAUGUACAACCUUUUCCAAUGGGAUUUCUACUUCUGCUUGCCUUCGGAGCAAUUUCUCUAACUAGUCCACCUAUUUUUGAAUUCUUUCUAGGUUAGUUUGGAAUGCAUCCGACUCAGGAUGGAAUGUGGAUAAAUAUUCUCCACACCUUCGAUCAUGACUCCGCUGAUUCAUUGAAACUCCAUUUGUUCGACAUGAUUUUUUAUUGCUUCUAUGUUGUUCAUACAAAUAGCAGUAUACAUCGUCAUCCAAGAUUAAUUUGAAUUCUUUUUUGACUGAAUGUUUGGGCAUAUCAAAUUCUUCCUUAUAACUCCAUUGGUUCGUCAAAUCUUCGUUUGUCAAACUUGAUUCUUCAUUAAUGUUCCAAUCCAAUGGUUUUGUACAAUCUGGUUCAGGAUGAUUAAUCAUAAUACAAGGGUCUUCUAGUUGAAGUUAGGAACAUGAUGCACAACCUCAUCCAAUGGGGUUUGUUGUAGCUCCAUCGUAAGCAAUAUUUGGUUCUCCUCGAUAUCCUAUUCUUCAUAAAAUCAUUCCUUGUAUACUUCAUCAUCAUACAACGCAGACAUUUUGCAUUCUUCAGCCCAACUCUUAUUAUCAUCAAACUCAUAAUCAACCCAAUCCAUGAGUAAAUUAGUUAGUCAACAAGGUAGCUAAAAAUAAAAAUAACUAAAAAUAAUGAAAAAUAAAGUUAAUACACUAUCUAACUCAUUCGUCUUUCGAUUAAUAUUAUUUUACGAAGCAAUUAAUCUAAUAAUAAUUUUCACAGUCGCAAUCCUCGGCAACAACACCAACAACUUGAAUGCUACCAAAUGUGCGAAUGUUUGGACUGAAAAUACUGCAGCAAAAAGAUAAUAAAUAAAGCAACGGUGUCCACAAGUAUACUGGUCAAAUUGUAAUAUAGGUUGUUUACAACGAAACACGUGGAAAGUAUUCCAUGGAUUGUAACCAAGAGAUUGCAGAUUGGAGAAAUUUAUUAUUAGAUUAAUUACAGAAAAUAAGUACUAAUCUAAUCGAGUUCCGAAUUAGUAGUACAAAUCUAAAUUAAAGUAUUUAUUAAACUAAUUAAGUUAAUUAACCUAAACUAAGCUAAUGAAAUUUCCUAUUCCUAGUGUGGACAAUACAAGCUCUCGGCCUUUAAUCAAUUAAAUCCCUAAAUAACAACUAAGUCAUUAAUUACCCUCAACUGAGUUCUUUACCACCUUUAGCUACAAAUACCCUCUCGGUCUCAUCUUCACUAAGGAUUGCCACUUAAGUCACCCUCUGGUCUUUUCCUAGGCAUACGGAUAACUCUCGAUCUCAUCACUGGGCAUAAGUUACACUUAACAGACUACCCCCUUUUAGUCUCACCUUUCUUGAUAUUCUAUUAGGGAUGUCACUCUUUAAUAUAAUAAGUACUCUUGAAUGAACUCUCAAUUUUAGGUAAAUAAUUACUUAAUUAAUAAAUCAGAUUCAUAAGCGAAACAUACCAGAUAUAAAAUACGCACAACUUAUUCUAAUAUUCAUAUAAACAUCAAUUGAUCAGGCCAACGAAAAUAUAAAUAAAAGAAUAAGAAAAAUGGGAGAAAGCUAUUAAAUAAAUAUAGGUACAACUCCAGAGCAAUAUCCUCUCAUGAUCAUCUUCACAUCAGAACAGGAAAAUCUCGACUACACGAACAUAAAAUAAAACUACAAAGAAAACUAAAUAAACUAUUUAGUUCUAAAAUGUCUAACUUUCAACAACUGUCUAACGAAGUUAUAAGUGUUUAUAUACGCACAAAUUAGAGCAACCAUUAAUGUCAAUUAUUACUAAAAUACCCCUGAUACUAAUAAAUUUGUAUUUAGUAAACUGAAUAUUUAAAAUUUGUUCACGUGACCACUGUUGUGAGCAAUUUGUCACGAUGACGUCAAGACUCCGCGGCGCCAAAAUCCCACAUCGCAAUGUCAGCCCUAUUUUUAGCCUUUGAUGAUUCAAAGUUCGGUGUCAAGACGUGGUAUGUUGAUGCCGCGUCAUGACCUUUGUUCCUUGCAUACUUAAGCUUAAAUCGAUGUCCUACACACUCAAAUAACCCAUUAGUCAUACCCAAGGCCCAAAUUGGUCUUAUGGGUCGUUAAAAAACUGAAUAAUGGGUAAAAACACUUAUUUUACCGAAAUUAAACUUAAACUACUAAAAAUAGAAAACGAAAUAAACACAUAUAAAAGAGCUAGAAAAUAUGCUCAUUAAGUGCCAAAAUGACUUUAAUUUCCACAACGAAUUGUGGUAGAUUAAUGAUUCAGACUGUAGGAAAUGUAGAUGACUAGAAAAUCAUAUAUGAUGGAUGUUUCUACCUGGGCUUGAAUCUUGUAUCUUGGUAUAACAAGAAGCAAUCAUCCAUUUCAUUAUCAACAACAAAGGCAAAGUAUAUUGUAGUUGGUAGUUGUUUUUCACAACUACUUUAGAUGAAACAAAUGAUUGGCAAACUUUGGAAUUUGAAUUAUUUUAAAUUAUAUUUAAAAUAUAUUAAAUAAUCAAUUCAAAUAUUAUAAUAGAAAAAUAUUGAAUAUAAUUAAAUCAUUUUUAACAUAUUCAACAUACAAUAUAGUUUUACUUUAUUUAAUUAAUGAAAAGUAAUAUUAUUCAAAAAAAUAACUAAUUAAAAUAAUUAAAUUUAAUAUUAAUUAAGUAAUAAUUAAGAUACUUAGUAUUCUAUUCAUGUAAUACAUCAUUAAAUUUAGCAUAGCACAACUUUUGUCUAUGUAAAAAAAAAAUUUAAACUAAUAUUUGUGAAUUAUAAUUAUAAUUAUCAAAACUCUUUUUAACUAAUAAUUGUAACUUAAAUUUUAAUUGUUUUUAAAUUUAUAAAUAUCACAAUUUAUCUUUUAUUUCAACUUUUUAAAUUAAUAAUCCAAAAUAAAACAUGAUAAUUAUUUUUAAAUAUAAAUUUAAUAAUAUUAUCGAAAAUAAUAAGCAUUCUUGUGAGUUCAAUUUUUUUUUUCUUUCCAAACUCACACAUAUAUUAUAGAUAAACUACCCAUUUUCUACAAUAGUUAUCAAUUUACUAAUAUCUAACUUUAAAAAAAAAAUUAUUUUGAGAUAGCCAUCCAGUUAUCUUCACUUUAUGUGUCUUAUUUGAAUUAAUAUUUAGGAGAAUUUUUUUUCACAUGUGCAUACAUGUAAAAAUUUUGUAAUUUGAAAAUAUAUGUGUUCAAAAAUAACAUAUAAUAAAUAAUGAAACGUAAGUUUUGAAAUUAAUAAUAACAGCUCAUAUGCAAUAUGUAUGAAAUUAAAAUAAAAAAUAAUUUAAAUUGUAGGUAAAAGGAAAUUUAAAUAGGUAAAUACAUUAAAUCAAGAAUAUUAAAUGCACUAUAAUUAUUUAUCAUAGUGUUGUCAUUUCUCUUAAGAUGACUUGUGACACCAAUACAAUCAACGAUAUUAUCAAUAUAAAUAAUGUGAGUGAAAUAAUUUGCAUAAUAAUAUUAAAAUAUAUCAAAGUAUCAAAAGAAAGCUUUGAUAGAAGUGAUAAAGUAAAAAUUUUAUAAAUAUUGAUAGCAUGACUUCAAAUAUCAACAUAUGCAAAAUUUAUAUUGAUUUUAUUUAAAAUGUACAAAUACAAAAGAAUAAUUGUAAGAAUAUAACUUAUUUCAAAUAUAUUAAGUAAUUUAGUAAUUUCUUAAGUUGGUAACAAUUUGAUAUUUAAAUAAUAAUAUAUAUUAUUAAUUAAAUUGAGGUUACAAAUUAAUAAAACACAAAUUCAAUUUAAAAAUAAAACAAAAUAUUUUUUUUCUGAUUUUUGUCGGAAAAUAUCUUAUUUAUUUUAAUAAUUUAAACACCAUAGCUUUUCUGUGGUCCAAAAAACAGGAUAAGACUGGCGUUGAAGGUCCUAGUCCCACCCAUGCCCAUGCGGGCCAUACUGUGUGUCGAUAUCCGACCCCGUGAUGUAAUAUCACUAUUGAAAUUAUAAAAAGUUGUCGUAUUUAAAAGACGUUUCACAUGCAUCCACUGUUCAAGUUGUUUUAGUUCAUACAAACUAUAUGCAUAUUCAAUGUAUGAAUAUGUAUUCCUUUUGGCAGCUACAACAUUCAACUUAAACUACUAACGAACAAAAAUGACCCUGUGAUAGAUUCAAUGUCCAAUCAAUGUCUUACUAAAUUAGGAUAUAUUCUAAAUCCAUCUUCGUAAUUGUCAAGUAGAAUUCACAUGAUUUCAGAUCUCCUACAAAAAUGGGAAAUCCAUUUGACCAAAGUGAUUAAUCUUGAAAACUAUUAGAAAAACUACUGCAACAGAAAGUGAAAGUCGAACCAAUUAGCAUUGCCAUAAACAUAAUAGCUAGUCAGGACAAUGAUUUUUUUUCAACCCCCCAGCUUGAUGCGGUUGCGAAAAGGACUGUUUUAAUACUAAAGUUAUACAGAAUUUUAAAUCAUACUAUGACGGUGGGAGAGAUGUGAAGAGUCACUAAAAUAAGAGUGAUUUAUACUGUAAAUUAUGUGGAGAGUCAUAAAAAUAUAAAUUUGAGAAGGUUAAGGUUAAGUUUUGAUAAAGUAUAGACUAUGUAUGGUGUAUGGCUCUCUUACUCCAAAGCUGAGGAGAGAUAUUUAUAUAGGGAGGUCAGUUGAGCAUGAGUCCUAACCAUUAAAUUUUCUAUCUCAUAAGUGCAAUAGUGGAGUGAUGGAUGUUAGUCGAGGGUAUUGAGUUAACUUGAAAGGGCUAGACGAGACAUUCGUUAAGUCAAUGUAAUAGAUUUAAGAGUGUCAUUAGAAACUCUUUCUCUUGUAACUCUUAAGGAUCAUGUGGCGCUUUGUAUGAUAGAAUGUUUAGGCAAGGUUAUUGUAAAGGUGAGUAAAAUCUAAUUCAAUUCGUAAAAUUCGAUAAAAAAUAUAAUUUUUGAAUUAAAUAGUUCGAGUUAUGUGAGUUAAUCGAGUUAUUUGGAUCAACUCGAAUAAAAAUUAAUUUUUUUUGUUUAACUCGAAUAUGAAUUACACUUUGAAUUAUCAGAAAAUCCAAAUAAGAAAAGGCAAAACUACAUUUGUUUUGAUAAAUAUUUACCUUUUCUAAAGUUAAAAGUCAAAACAUUUAAGGUAAAAGGUAAAAUUACGUCAUUUUAAUAAAUGUUUACCCAUUAAGUUAAAAGAUAAAACCAUUAUAUUGUUUAUAUAGUUAAAUAAUCUUGUACUUCGGCUACUAGUUAAACAAUUGGUCUAUGUAAAUACAACAUUAAGUAUUAAUAAUAGGAUUCGUCUACUCGACUCGACUUGUGCCGAAAAUUUUUUCCUCAAUUCAAUUUGAUUCGAAAAAAUUUUCAAAUUGAGUUUGGUUGCUAAAAUAGGAUUCUUUAACUCAAUUAACUUGAAAUUUUUUAACUCGAUUCCAAUUAACUCGAUCGAAUACUCACCCCAAGCUACUGCCCUCUUGGAGAGGCCACAUAUUCUUAUAGUUGUUGAAUGAUCCAGUGAGUCGGUCUAGGCAAGGGUAUAACAACUACCCCUUAGUUGAAAGACAGGUUACAAAGUGACCUGGCCUGAGCUAAUUCAUUAGCAAACCUUACUCGAACCUUGGUGAGGCUUGUAGAGGGUUUUGAAGUGUCAUCGUUAUUGUCUGAUUAUUGCACCUGUGUAUUGAUUACUCUUAGAUGCAUGUUUGUAUUUAAUUGAAAGAUUUUUUUAAACACAUUUCUCUUUAUUUUAUUGAGCCAAUAUUUAGAGAAAAAUAAUUUUGAAAUCAAGUUAAAAUUCGAUCUGACCUGCCUCAUGGAUAAAUUUAUAUCUAACUCUAUUUUACAAUAUUUUUAAUUUUGCCUCACCUGAAAAUGCUAAAUGGAACAUUCGCGAGCAUGUUAUAGAUUAAGGGACUCAUAUAUUCUCAUAUUCCUAUAAAUGUUGAAUAAUCGGAGGGGAUUUAAAAGAGAGGGUUAUAACAAAGACUAAUAUGGAUGUGGCUUGCUGACUCAAGUAGGGAAAAUGUGGCCAACAUGGUGUGGGAACCCGGCGGGUGAAGCGUCUUCGGCUCCACUUAGACCCCACACUCAUGCUUUGAAGGUUAAAUGUUGCGAUCUUUCAAUUCCAAUACAUUGAUAACAAUUUGCCUUUUUUUCUGAGGCCAGCGUUGAAGUUUCUCCCACUUGAUUUGCCAUUUGACAAGGAAAACUGGGCCAAUUGGAAUUCCCUGUUUAUCACAUAUAUUAAAUUAUUGGUCAUUCUAAAACUGUGACUGCUGCAGAUAUUUUUUUCUUCAUCUUUUUUAUAAACUGACCGUAAAAAUUUAAUUAAUUAUUUAAAUAAUCUAUUUUUUUAUAAAAUAUAAAAAUAACCUAAAAUCUAUCGUAAAAAUUGGUGAAAGUUAAAGUGUUUGGCACUACUAACAUAUCAAAUUAACAAUCAAGAUAAAAAAAUUAAUUUUUUAGCAAAACCAUUUAAAAUGACACCACCGACAUAAAUAUUAAGAAAAUGCUGCAAUUUUUGAAAAAAUAAAAAGGCUUUCAGCCAAGUUAUUUUUUUUAGUGAAGCCAAAUAAUUUGGCAUCACAUUCCAACACCCUAUCGUGCUUUUCCUUAUUUUUUUAUUUGUUUGUUUACAUUUAUUUUAUAAUAUUAUAAUAUAUAUUUUAAAUUUUUUAUAAUAUUAUUUCUUAAACUUUAAAUAUAUUUUUUAAAAUUUUAAAUAUGUACUUUUUAAUAUUAUAAAAAAUUUAAAACAUAUUAUUUUUAAAGAUAUGACAUUUUAAAUUUAUUAUUUGUUUUAUAAUAUUUUUAAUGUAUAUUUUAAAAUUUUUAAAAAUUAUUUUUAAAUAUAUUCAAACGUUUUUAAAAAUAAUAUUUAAAAUUUUAAAACAUAAUAUUUUAUUUAGUGGAAAAAAAACGAAUAGGCUAGAAAAAAGUAGAAAAAGAAAAAAAUGAAAAACAAAUAAAAAAUAGGAAAAGCAAAUUAGGCAGCAGAAUAGGGCUUUAGAAUCUAUUUAGCUCUACUAAAAAGGUAAAUUUACUUAAAGCCCUCCAUUUUUUUUCAAAAACCGUAGUAUUUCCCUAAUAUUUAUACAAGUGGCGCCAUUCUACAUGGCUCCACAAAAAAAUUAAUUUUUUUAUCCUGAUUGCUGACGUGACAUGUUGGUAGCACCAAAUAUUUGACUUCACCAAUUUUUAUUAUAAAUUUUAGAUUAUUUUCGAAUUUUAUCAAAAGAAUAAGUCAUUUAAAUAAUUAAUUAAUGUUUUAGGUUAGUUAAAAAAAAACCUAUUUUUAUGAUAACAACAAAAAAUAUAUAUAUUCAACAGUAGUAACUUAGAAUGGGAAUAUUCCAUAUGAAUGGUUUAAUAUCGGAAUUCGUUUUAUCAGUUUCACUAUUUGAAUUUUUAUAUGUUGUUUUAAAAAUUUUCAACAUAGUAAAUUCAGAUAUUUAACAUAAUAGAAUAUUGAUUUAAGGCUUUAAAAAGUGUUUAAUUUUUUUUAAAAAGUCAUUAAGUCUAUUUUUUUUUGUUUUUUAUUUUUUUGCACACAAUGUAUAUUUGAUCUUUCAAAAUGCAUAAAAAAUACCUUCAAACUUUUUUAAGAAAAGCAAUUAAGCUCCUAAAUUUUUUCACCCAAUUGGGUACUUGAACUGUUAAAUGCUUCAAAAAUACCAUUUAACCAUUAACUUUAACAGUUGAUCGUUAAAUUUAAUUACCCCUGAUCUUUUUUAGUCAAAGCCACUUGUGUAACAACCAUGGCGUGGCAUGUGACAAAAAAAUUAUAAAAAAUAAAAAUCAAAAAAAUUUAUAAAAUAUUUAAUUUUAAUAAAAAUAUUUAGAAUUUAUUAAAAAUUAGGAUUGUUUUAUAAAUACCAUAAAAAUUAUAAAAUGCAUAAAAAAACCUUUAACUAUUAACUUUAACCGUUAAAGAUAACAGCUUCUUGUUUUUUUUAAUUAAAGUUAUCAUAUAUCGCAACACGGCAUGACAUGCUUUUUUAGUACAGUAAUUUUUAUAAGUCUUUUUCCAAUUUUAUAUUUCUUUAUUUUUUUAUAAUUUUGUUAUGACUUUAUAAAAUUUUAUAAUUUUUUUUCUAUAUUUCUAUAUAUUUUACAAUUUUUACAACUUUUAUAAAAUUUUAAAAUUCUUUAUAAAUUCUUUUAAGAUUUUAUAAUUAUUCUAAUUAUUCUAAUUUUUAAAUAUUUUAAUUAAAAUUUAAUAUUUUUAUAAACUUUCAUUGAUUUUUAUUUUUUAUCAUUUUUUGUUACAUGUCCUAUUGAGGUUGUGACAUGUGGUGACUUUAUCUAAAAAAAUUAGGAGUAGUUAAAAUACCCAAUUGAGUGAAAAAAGGACUUAAUUAUUUUUUUAAAAAAGUUUGAAGGUUUUUUAUGUAUUUUAAAAAUUUAAGUACCUAAUUGAAUGUAAAAUAAAAAAAAGUAGGGACUUAUUUAUUUUUUUAAAAAGUUUAAAUUUUUUAUAUAUUUUAAAAGUUUAAAUAUUCAAAUACAAGUGUAAAAGAAAAAAAAAACAAAGCUUAAUGAUUUAGUUUUUUGAAAAAGUAUACAAGGAAAUUUGAUAAAUUUAAAAAAUCCAACCGCAGCCGACAGAAUUUUGUCAUGUUUGUUUUAAAAUAUCUAGCUAAAAGACAAAGGGCCAUAUCGUAUCAAUUUUAUUGUUUUCAACUGUAACCCGAUUUGUGUUACCUCGUGAACACAACUUGUCCCUAAUUAUUCCAAUGAGGCUUGGCCCUUAAAGCCUAGUUAGGACCAAUUACAUCACGUAUGCGAGAAUUACGCACAUGCACAUGCGGUAACAUUUUCCCUAUAAAUUGCUGGCCUUUGCCUCCACCAUUUUCAUCAUUCCAGUUGCUCUCAUUUUUCUUUGGAAACAAAAAACAAAAAAUAGAAAAAAUAAAGAGCAAGAGAUAUGGCAAGCACAUUCUCUUAUAAUUCUUUUGGAUUCCUUCUCAUUCUUGUCGCCUCUAGUUCCUUGAUAAAUAUAAGUUCAGCUGGUAGGCAAAUUGCCCCUAAAACUAGCAUUGAGUUUAUCAGAACAUCUUGUAGUUCAACGACUUACCCUAAACUUUGUUACGAAUCUCUCUUAACACAGGCUAGCAUGAUCCAAACAAGCCCCCAACUCAUCGCCCAUGCAGCCCUAAACGUGACCCUUUCAACCGCCAAGUCAACCUCGGCCAUGAUGGUGAAGCUUGCCAAAAGCCAAGGAUUGAAGCCUACAGAGGUGGGCGCCAUGCAAGAUUGCGUGGAGGAAUUGGAGGACACGAUAGAUGAGCUGAGAAAGUCAAUCAGCGAGAUGGGUCAGAUUAAAGGCUCCAAUUUUGGACUAAUGAUUAACGAUAUACAGACAUGGGUUAGCGCUGCUUUGACGGAUGAGAACACCUGCGCCGACGGGUUUGGAGGGAAAAACAUGAACGGCAGUAUAAAGACUGCUGUGAGAUCCAAGAUUGUCACAAUCG